AGAGUUUGAUCCUGGCUCAGGAUGAACGCUGGCGGCGUGCUUAACACAUGCAAGUCGAGCGAAGCACUUAUGAUUUCUUCGGAUUGAAUGAGUGACUGAGCGGCGGACGGGUGAGUAACGCGUGGGUAACCUGCCUCACACAGGGGGAUAACAGUUAGAAAUGACUGCUAAUACCGCAUAAGACCACAGCACCGCAUGGUGCAGGGGUAAAAACUCUGGUGGUGUGAGAUGGAUCCGCGUCUGAUUAGCUAGUUGGCAGGGUAACGGCCUACCAAGGCAACGAUCAGUAGCCGACCUGAGAGGGUGACCGGCCACAUUGGGACUGAGACACGGCCCAAACUCCUACGGGAGGCAGCAGUGGGGAAUAUUGCACAAUGGGCGAAAGCCUGAUGCAGCGACGCCGCGUGAAGGAUGAAGUAUUUCGGUAUGUAAACUUCUAUCAGCAGGGAAGAAAAUGACGGUACCUGACUAAGAAGCCCCGGCUAACUACGUGCCAGCAGCCGCGGUAAUACGUAGGGGGCAAGCGUUAUCCGGAUUUACUGGGUGUAAAGGGAGCGUAGACGGCGAUGCAAGUCUGAAGUGAAAGGCAUGGGCUCAACCUGUGGACUGCUUUGGAAACUGUGUUGCUAGAAUGUCGGAGAGGCAAGCGGAAUUCCUAGUGUAGCGGUGAAAUGCGUAGAUAUUAGGAGGAACACCAGUGGCGAAGGCGACGUUCUGGGCCGCAACUGACGCUCAGUCCCGAAAGCGUGGGGAGCAAAUAGGAUUAGAUACCCUAGUAGUCCACGCCGUAAACGAUGAGUACUAAGUGUUGGGGGUCAGACCCCAGUGCUGGAGUUAACGCAAUAAGUACUCCGCCUGAGUAGUACGUUCGCAAGAAUGAAACUCAAAGGAAUUGACGGGGGCCCGCACAAGCGGUGGAGCAUGUGGUUUAAUUCGAAGCAACGCGAAGAACCUUACCAGGUCUUGACAUACCGUCAAAAGCCCCAGAGAUGGGGAGAUAGCUAUGGCGGAUACAGGUGGUGCAUGGUUGUCGUCAGCUCGUGUCGUGAGAUGUUGGGUUAAGUCCCGCAACGAGCGCAACCCCUGUUGCCAGUUGCCAGCAUUGAGAUGGGGACUCUGGCGAGACUGCCUCUGCAAGGAGGAGGAAGGCGGGGAUGACGUCAAAUCAUCAUGCCCCUUAUGAUCAGGGCUACACACGUGCUACAAUGGCGUAAACAAAGAGAAGCGAACCUGUGAGGGUGGGCAAAUCUCAAAAAUAACGUCUCAGUUCGGAUUGUAGUCUGCAACUCGACUACAUGAAGCUGGAAUCGCUAGUAAUCGCGAAUCAGAAUGUCGCGGUGAAUACGUUCCCGGGUCUUGCACUCACCGCCCGUCA
rnacentral:rRNA from 1 species